GGCGUAGGCGGUAGUGUAAGUCAGAUGUGAAAGCCCGGGGCUCAACCCCGGAAUUGCAUUUGAAACUACACUUCUAGAGGAUAGGCGGAGAAAACGGAAUUCCGCAUGUAGCGGUGAAAUGCGUAGAUAUGUGGAAGAACACCGGUGGCGAAGGCGGUUUUCUAGCUUAUACCUGACGCUGAGGCCCGAAAGCUAGGGGAGCGAACA
rnacentral:rRNA from 1 species